rnacentral:rRNA from 1 species
GACGAACGCUGGCGGCGUGCCUAAUACAUGCAAGUCGAACGCUUCUUUUCCACCGAGUGCUUGCACUCAUCGGGAAAGAGGAGUGGCGGACGGGUGAGUAACACGUGGGUAACCUGCCCAUCAGAAGGGGAUAACACUUGGAAACAGGUGCUAAUACCGUAUAACAAUCGGAACCGCAUGGUUCUGAUUUGAAAGGCGCUUUCGGGUGUCGCUGAUGGAUGGACCCGCGGUGCAUUAGCUAGUUGGUGAGGUAACGGCUCACCAAGGCAACGAUGCAUAGCCGACCUGAGAGGGUGAUCGGCCACACUGGGACUGAGACACGGCCCAGACUCCUACGGGAGGCAGCAGUAGGGAAUCUUCGGCAAUGGACGAAAGUCUGACCGAGCAACGCCGCGUGAGUGAAGAAGGUUUUCGGAUCGUAAAACUCUGUUGUUAGAGAAGAACAAGGAUGAGAGUAACUGUUCAUCCCUUGACGGUAUCUAACCAGAAAGCCACGGCUAACUACGUGCCAGCAGCCGCGGUAAUACGUAGGUGGCAAGCGUUGUCCGGAUUUAUUGGGCGUAAAGCGAGCGCAGGCGGUUUCUUAAGUCUGAUGUGAAAGCCCCCGGCUCAACCGGGGAGGGUCAUUGGAAACUGGGAGACUUGAGUGCAGAAGAGGAGAGUGGAAUUCCAUGUGUAGCGGUGAAAUGCGUAGAUAUAUGGAGGAACACCAGUGGCGAAGGCGGCUCUCUGGUCUGUAACUGACGCUCAGGCUCGAAAGCGUGGGGAGCAAACAGGAUUAGAUACCCUGGUAGUCCACGCCGUAAACGAUGAGUGCUAAGUGUUGGAGGGUUUCCGCCCUUCAGUGCUGCAGCAAACGCAUUAAGCACUCCGCCUGGGGAGUACGACCGCAAGGUUG